rnacentral:rRNA from 1 species
AGUGAACGCUGGCGGUAGGCCUAACACAUGCAAGUCGAACGGCAGCACAGUAAGAGCUUGCUCUUACGGGUGGCGAGUGGCGGACGGGUGAGGAAUACAUCGGAAUCUACUUUUUCGUGGGGGAUAACGUAGGGAAACUUACGCUAAUACCGCAUACGUCCUACGGGUGAAAGCAGGGGAUCUUCGGACCUUGCGCGACUGAAUGAGCCGAUGUCGGCUUAGCUAGUUGGCGGGGUAAAGGCUCACCAAGGCGACGAUCCGUAGCUGGUCUGAGAGGAUGAUCCGCCACACUGGAACUGAGACACGGUCCAGACUCCUAAGGGAGGCAGCAGUGGGGAAUAUUGGACAAUGGGCGCAAGCCUGAUCCAGCCAUACCGCGUGGGUGAAGAAGGCCUUCGGGUUGUAAAGCCCUUUUGUUGGGAAAGAAAAGCAGCAGGUUAAUACCCCGCUGUUCUGACGGUACCCAAAGAAUAAGCACCGGCUAACUUCGUG